CACUGCCUAUGAAGGCUCGGUUGGCUUUUACCUCUGUAAGUUCCUAAGGGCCGGCCAAUUAUUUCAGCGGGAUCGUUAGUGCUGAGUCACACGAAGCUGGCGAACCGGAGCUUAAUUGCCUCCGAUUCGGGCUCUGUGUGUGUGUUCUGAGGGGCCCAGCCUGUACACCCCAGAUCCACGUCAGCUCAGCAUUGCCUAGUGAUCCUGAGCAAACAGCAUUUAGACAGUUUACGGCUCCCUAUGCCCGCGCAGUUGAAGAUGUCAGAGACUUGAUCCCUCUGCGCCUGCCACCAUGUUACAUCUCCUCAGUGAUAUUCAUGUUGCCCUUACAGCUUCCUGGUAUAAGCAAGUUCUUGGGAUUAUACAAACUGCUGCUUCUGUUUCCAGUCCAGAUUUCUAGAAAUGAAACUCUGGGCCGCGCUGACGAGCGUCCGCGCUUGUCUGCGACCGUAGCAGAGCCGCCCUGGCAAGCGUCCGCGCUUGUCUGCGCCCGUAGCAGAGCCGCCCUGGCCUCCGCAGCUCUUCAGCCCGGUGCCAGGCCCCAGGGGCCCAAGCGGCUGCCGCCGCGGCUCUCCGUCCCCNAGCAUUUAGACAGUUUACGGCUCCCUAUGCCCGCGCAGUUGAAGAUGUCAGAGACUUGAUCUCUCUGCGCCUGCCACCAUGUUACAUCUCCUCAGUAAUAUUCAUGUUGCCCUUACAGCUUCCUGGUAUAAGCAAGUUCUUGGGAUUAUACAAACUGCUGCUUCUGUUUCCAG
rnacentral:lncRNA from 1 species